rnacentral:rRNA from 1 species
AUUGGGGGCGUGCUAUAAUGCAAGUCGAGCGAAUGGAUUAAGAGCUUGCUCUUAUGAAGUUAGCGGCGGACGGGUGAGAAACACGUGGGUAACCUGCCCAUAAGACUGGGAUAACUCCGGGAAACCGGGGCUAAUACCGGAUAACAUUUUGAACCGCAUGGUUCGAAAUUGAAAGGCGGCUUCGGCUGUCACUUAUGGAUGGACCCGCGUCGCAUUAGCUAGUUGGUGAGGUAACGGCUCACCAAGGCAACGAUGCGUAGCCGACCUGAGAGGGUGAUCGGCCACACUGGGACUGAGACACGGCCCAGACUCCUACGGGAGGCAGCAGUAGGGAAUCUUCCGCAAUGGACGAAAGUCUGACGGAGCAACGCCGCGUGAGUGAUGAAGGCUUUCGGGUCGUAAAACUCUGUUGUUAGGGAAGAACAAGUGCUAGUUGAAUAAGCUGGCACCUUGACGGUACCUAACCAGAAAGCCACGGCUAACUACGUGCCAGCAGCCGCGGUAAUACGUAGGUGGCAAGCGUUAUCCGGAAUUAUUGGGCGUAAAGCGCGCGCAGGUGGUUUCUUAAGUCUGAUGUGAAAGCCCACGGCUCAACCGUGGAGGGUCAUUGGAAACUGGGAGACUUGAGUGCAGAAGAGGAAAGUGGAAUUCCAUGUGUAGCGGUGAAAUGCGUAGAGAUAUGGAGGAACACCAGUGGCGAAGGCGACUUUCUGGUCUGUAACUGACACUGAGGCGCGAAAGCGUGGGGAGCAAACAGGAUUAGAUACCUUUGGUAGUCCA